GCAGGCUGCAAAUUCAUAUGACCUGGAGCCCGAUGAGCGAUUUGGGGCCUGGUUCCAGGCCAUGGAGCCCAUCAGUGUCCAUGAGAGCUACUGGGUCUCCUGCCGGCUGGAGCCCGCACACCAGAAGGCGAGCAAAAUGCGGCUCUUCAGGAGAAAGAGGAACCGGACAUCCUCCAGUUUAGGGCCGACCACCGUGCCCUUGGCGAUGAGCCAUAACCCUCUGGAGACCACAAGUUCAGCUCCUCCUGAGCAGCAGGGCCACUGGGACCCUCGGGGUGCACCGG